CAGCGGCCCGGGCCGGCCGGCUCAGCCGCAGUGAGUAGGGCGGGGCAGGGGAACCAAGGAGUGGAGGGGAAUCGACGCAGCGUCAGAGGAGCACCCCCCUAUCCGAGGCCGAGUCUGACAGUAGGUUGGGGAACUCCCGGAGUGGACCUACUGGGACCCCCAGGGUGCAGGUUGGAAGACCCUGCUGCUAAGUUCGGAACAAGAAAAGGAGCCUGAAAUGGGGGUAGGGCAAGAAGAACUGAUGGGAAUAGAGGCAGUGUGCCUUUGGGAUGGAGCGAUAGAAGACUAAGUAGUCAGUAGAAUGAGGGGACCCCCGAAGGAGAGGACCCCAAGAUUUUCCUAAUAGACCCUCAGGAGAGGCGGUUCAGUGUCUUCAGCCGGCCCAGAACAGGGGAGGAAGAAAAAUAAUCCUGAAUGAAGGCAUAGUGGAUGCUACAGAAAAUAUAGGUAGCAGACCCCUGAAUGGAGGUACACUGUUUCCCUAGUAGGAAAGGGGCCACCAGGAGAGGGCUCAAGGAAUUUGAAGUCAGCUAUGGAAUAGGGGAGGGGGACCUGGAGUUGAGGGCAGCAAGGCUCCCCUGAAUUGGGGAUGUGGGAGACACUGCAGAGGAUGAAGGGAAGCCCAGAUGGGGGGCUGGGCACAGUGGUCUUUGUAGGAUAGGAGGUGAGAGACCCUGCAACCAGCCCUAACAAGGAGGGCCCUCAGUGAAGUGGGCAGAGGGUCCCCUGAAAAAGCAGAGAGGUUCAGAGAACCAAAAGUGGGGGUGCUGCAGGGAACUGGGCAUAAAGCUGGGAGAGCUGGUGCCUGUGUGAGCAGGGGGAAGUGACAGAUGUGUUAAGAGUAACUCAAGCCAGGGUCUGCAUACUGAGGUCAGCUCAGCAGUUGCUGGCCAAAUGACCUUGGACAAGUUGUGCACCCCCCUCCACACACACUCGGGUUUCCUAUCUGUAUACAGACAGGACUUGCCCUGUCCUGGGUCAGGCUGCAGCUCAAGACUUCCUUCCCCCCACCCAGCCCCAGCAGCUCUGCUUUGGGGGGGUGUCUCUGGACGAAUUGGGAGAGGAGAACCCUCCUGCUGCCUGUGGAUAUAGCAGCCACGUUCCUACAACUAGGAAGUCCAUGUUUCUUCCUCCCUGCUCCUCAUCUCCUUAGCUUCAACUUGUCAUCUCUCCCACACACCCACAGUAGACAAGUGGAUACCAUGAUAGGUCUCCCUUCUUACCCCCAGGGAAGUUAUGAGAUGCUUUUGGGAUACCAGAGUCUCUCACCCCCAUAAGCCCUAAUUCAGGUGGCAAAGAGGGCCCUGGUGUUUAGGGGGCCCUGCAACUGCUGGUAGCAUUUGGCUUUUUCUUGGGUUUGGCUCGUGUCAAGUGCCUCAGGAGUGUGGGAGGCACUGUGGGCUGGUGCUUCAGCACCAUGGACAGGACCUGUUCUUUGUUGGGGAGAAAAGGGGUUAACUUUUGCCUUUACCUUGAAGAAUGGGUAAGGGAAGAAUGGCACCUCCCCCUUGCAUGACCCUAUGCUAAGUGAAGGAUGGAGAACUGAGAGAGGUGAGUGAAUGAUCUAGUGGGGUCAAUCAGGAGCCAGAGACCCAGCCCCUUGACCUUCUGCUAGGGGUCAAGUCCUCUGUUUUCUGUGAAGUUCUCCCACAUACACAGGUGGGCUCCCUCCAUUGGGAGUUCAGGGGUCACCCAUAGGUGCCUGAUUCCAGAAAGGAGACUUGAGAUCCCUGGAGAGUCAGUGUAGAAUCCCCUCCCAGACCCAAACCUCUUUCAGGCAGUUAUCUCAACCCCACUACAUUUCCAGCUUACAUGGUUUUCUUUCUGUAGGAUCCCCAUGAGGAGGACAGACAGAUCCCCCAGAAAAGACCUCUGCCAAUUCUUUUUUCUUUGCCCUUCAUCUCCUGCCUGCACCCCUAGUUCUAAGCAGACCCUCAGACAUGGGGAAGUGCUGCUGCUGUCCCUUUAACCACGUUUCACUGGGAGGAGAGUGCGCUGGAGAGGAGGAGGAGGGGGAAGGGAGUUUCUGGUUUUGCAUGGAGAAGCAGAACAUGAUGAAGCAUUUUUCUCCCCCAUUUAAAGAUCCAGUCAUGUUCCAGUUUGCAGGGGCAGAAGGGCUGGUUUGCAGUUGGUGCUGGGAGGAUAGAGCAUGCAGAAGUCCCUGGGCCAGGAAUGGAACCUGUGCCACAGAAGCAACCCAAGCCAAUGCUGGUGACGAUGCUGGUUCCUUAACCCACUGAGUCACUGGGGAAACUCCUCAUUGGUCUUUCUUAAGGGACCAGUUCUAGCAAUUAGAUGAGGCUGGCCAUUACCAGUGGUCUAGGACUGUUGUAUUCUUAUUAUCUAGUGCAAGAAGCUAAGCAAUAAUAGGACUCAAGUCUAUCUGCUAAGAAGGGGAAGAGGUAACUCUGCUUUUACUCCUUUUUCAUUCCAGCAAGUCUAUGAAGUAGAUGCUGUUAGUAUCCCCACUUCAUGGUUUGGGAAAUGGAGGAUCAGAGAGGUUGGGUGACUUGCCCCAGGUCACAGCUAGUGGUGGAGCUGGGAUUCAAACCCAGGUCUGCGAGGCUCCACAGCAGGUAUUCUCAACUACAAGAGUGUGCUACCACCUCUCACAUUCAUAGGAAGGCCAGCUGAGUUCCCACAGGACCACUGCUUUACAACUGGACCUAUCACUUUCCUGGUCCUAUCACCCCUGGCUGGAGCUUUGCUCUGGGGGUUCCUUCUGGCAUCUUGGUGGAAGCAAGGGGGGUUGAUAACUGGCAUUGUCUUGAAGGAGGAGGCUUUCCAGGCAGGCAGAAAGUUGAAAUGACUGCUGACUCAGCUAUCUGGAUGUCCUUACCUGAGGAGACAGGUAAAUAGACAGCAGUCAUGGAACCAUGAUUAAUGUUCAUAGAGUAGAUCUUACAUCCUCAAGAAAACAAUUUUGGCAACUUUUGUGUGGUGAGUACAUGCCUCCUGUGUGCUGGCUUCCUGCAUACAUGGUGUCUGCCACAACUGCCCUAGGUCUGCAGGGUCGUCCUCCAGUACAGAGUAGGAUACCUAGCAGAGAAAGAAAGUGACCUGCCAAGGUCAGAGAACAAGGUGGUGGAGGGGCUGUGGCACACACUUAGGCCUCCUGCACUUCCCAAUAUUUCACAAUGGCCCUCAGAAAAAAAUACUUCAGUGAUGCUUCAUCUCUUUAUUCAGGAGGAGAAAGCUGUGCUUAGUACAUUUUAGAAAGCUUCUAUGCCAAUGAGUUUAAAUUGGGGUGUUGGGGCUUAGGGGGAGAACUAUCAGUUGAGUGAAAGUUCAUUUCCAGUGGUCAGUGUUGGCAGAUGAAUGAGGCAUUAUUUGGCCUUAAAGAGGCCCCUGUAAGUGGGCACACCUGGGCCUGGUGGAUGUGAAGCUUGCUUUGCUGGGGGCAGCUGCAUCCUGGCUGGUUCCUCUGAAGUCAGGCUGCAUGAGAACACAUAGGCCCUGGCAGCAUCCUGGCACCACCCAAAGCAGCAAACACCAGCAGCAAGGACACAUGCCAGGAAAGUUUCUGCAACCUCUUCCUCGGCCCUGAGCUAGGCGCCUGCCAUGGACAGAAGACUGCAGGAGCCCACAGCAGACCUAGACAGACUGUUUCUUCCACAGAAUUAUCUCACUAAAUAACUCUCGCUAAAGCCUAACAAGACUUGUCAUCAAGCCCAUUUUCCGGAGGGAGAAACCGAGACUCCAAGAACUACAGAACCUAUUUCUGUGUCUCAAUACGUAGGCCGGCUCUCCGACUUGACGGAAUCGCUCUGGCAACAGCGCCCUCUAAAGGCGGAGGCGAGUAUGCCUGCGUAACAGUCGUGCCCCGUCCUUUGGCGCUGGAAAUGGCGGAGGGCUCCCUCUGGCUUCUGAGGAUUGUCCAGCGCCCUCCGAGGUCCUGGAGAAGCCAGGAGCGCUGCCUACAACUCGGCCUUGACUUCCCCGCAGCCUUGGUCGCCGCAGCAUUGGGUCAGAGGCAUCCCUGGAGAUUGCAGAAAGUUAGCGGCGGCCCCUGUUGACGCAGCGAGUGACGGCCCGACAUACCCUGAUAGGCCACGGGGAGGGCCAGACGCAGAGCCUUGAAAGAAGGAGCUUGCGCUCUGGAAGGGGCGUGGCCAGCGCUCUUCCUCGAGGGCGGGGCUCUAGGGGAAGGGGCUCUUCUCUGGGAUAUUGUGCCACAAGCGAGGACACCCGUGCACCUAGCCCAGGGCCUGUGUCCUGGCGUCAGCGCAUCUGUGGGCAGCAACUUUACCCUCCCCAGACCUCAGUUUCUGCACCUGUAAGACGGAGGCUCUUCCACAACUGCAAAAAUCGGAGUUUCAUCCAGCAUUCUCAGAAUUCCUGUCUCCAGGCAGGCACUGAGGAAUCAGAGCUGCGUUCCUGUGGAGGCUCAGAGCUCUGAGAUCUCCUUCACUUGCUGCAUCAGUACUCCUGACACUGGAGAGUUCUGGAGGUUGGAGACCAGCCCCUUCCUGGUGGAACAGGCACCCUGUAGCCUGGGAUGUGACAGUCAUAUGACAGGGCCUGUAACAAGUAACAGUGGUAGCCCAAAUAUGUCGAGCACUUACUAUAUGCCUGGCUUUUCAUGAAGUCUGUCGCAUACGUUAUUUACACCCCCACCCGCACAGCCGUGUCUGGUGGUCCUGUUCUUGACAUCCUGUUUACUGAUGAGCCCAGAGUCACACAAUAGUAGCCAGUCCAAGGUCACCCAGCUAAUAAAUGGCUGAAGCAGUAGUCCACAGUCUCAUCCACUGUUCCGUACCAAAAAAAAAUGUUUAACCUGGAAGGGAGAUGGCAGAGGGGGAAAAUUACAAGAUCCUACCAGUGUUAAUCUAUACCACGAGUUGAGCCCUUAGUAUGUGUUGGAUGCUGGCCUACAGAUCAGCACCAUUUAUACUCCUGACAGUGACCUUAUACUAUAGGGUUGUUAUUUCCACUUCUGAGAGGUCAUCUCAUAUGUCUCUGGUCACACUGCUAGUACAAAACUGGAACUUUGAGUUUAAUGGAUGGUACACUCAGCCUGCCUGUAUAUCACUCUUAGGAAGACCCCACUCUUCUCUGAGCCUGUUUCCCGUUCUGCACAAUGAGAGGUUUGGACCAGAAGGCUCUGGACAUUGUUUCCUGAGCUCACAUUCUUUGAUUUUAGGAGCAUUGACAUGAUGUCCAGAGUCCUGGGUUUGUUCCUAAUUAUCUAUGACUUGGGAACGCCUCGGCCUAAUCCCUUGCAUCUCUGGGCCUCAGUUUCCCCCUUUGUAAAAUGUGGAGAUGAAAAGUCUCAAUCACCAAGGGACCUUCUGGCUUUAAUAUUUUAUGACUGCAAAUGAAGAGACAAGCUGAGGUUCAGCAAAUUGUGCAUCCUCUGAGAAAUUCUAAUGAAUGUGAUUCUGCCACCUUGCUCAAAACAUUCCUGGUGCAAGGCUUCCAAGGACAGAUGCCCAUGUAGGUCAAGGGGAACAGCCACCUCCAGAUAAUCAGCAUUAACUGCUGGAGGAGGCUCACUCUCCUGAUGGUCCAAAAUCCACCCCUGUGGUCAGACCAGCUUAAGACUGAAUGCCAGCACUUCCCCCUGGGCACCUCAGAGAAGUGACCCUUUCUGUGCCUUAGUUUCUACAUCUGUAAAAUAGGGUGCUAACAGGACCAGCUUCAUUUGAGAUUUGAUGGAAAAACAUGUGCAAAAAGCCUAACAUGGACAUUCCCUGGUGGCUCAGUGGGUUAAGGACCUGGCAUUGUCACUGUCGUGGCACAGGUUUGAUUCCUGGCCCAGGAACUUCCUCAUGCCAAGGGUACAACCCCAAAAAAAGCCUAACAUGCUACUUCUGGCUUAGGAAAACCCCCAAUAAAUACAACUGUUACCUAUUGUGUCUACAGCACUGUUCUUGGCACUAAGAACGUUCCUGAGCCUUAGACCCUACCCACACUCUGACCAAGAUGGUGUUAGGGGUGAGGGAAGAGAGACGGGGUCCUGCUGAGUCGUGGUGGGGGGAGACCCAGGUGUGGGACGCAGGCAGUCCCUGCCCCAGAGGCUGCGCACACAGGUUGCCAGGCCCGAUGGCAGCUGAAGUAGCAUUAACGAGCAUUCUAGCACGUCCCUGGCUAGCGGCAGCCCCUGGGAGGGGCAGCAGGCCAUGUGAGGACAGAGGAAGUGGAGGAGUGGUGUCAGAACUGCCGCAUUGUGUGCCAGGGGCUGCAGCUCAGUGCAGGCUCAUGGUCCGAGACAAGACAGGAGAAGUGCGUGCUGUGAUUCAGGCUCUGGUGAAGGGCGUUCACAUCUGUUGUGUCCCCAGGACAGGGCUGUGUGGCCUGUGCCAGAUUCUCAAACUGCAGUAUAGAGACCCUACCCCUGGGAGCCCGUGGGUUAACCAUAGGCAGUCAGGAGCCCUCAAAAUUGUGCAGGAUUGUGUGAGUGAUUCCCCAAGAGACAUAGACCCCCAAAUGUCAGUUCUAGAUUUAGGAAUCAGAAGAAUUGGUAUAAUUGGUGAUUCUAGUAAAUGGAAACCUGUGAUUCUGGGCAGGUGGUUGAAUACUCACCCCCACUCCUCAACGC